rnacentral:snRNA from 1 species
AUCGCUUCUCGGCCUUUUGGCUAAGAUCGAGUAUAGUAUCUGUUCUUAUCAGAUUGUGAAAAUUUUUUACUUCACUGAAACAUCUUGGUGUUAAUGGCCUACACUAGAUGUACUGAUUACUUUUUCUGUGUAUAAUGAAAUAAAAAUUACUCUUUU